rnacentral:rRNA from 1 species
ACCUACCAUGACGUACACAUACUUGAG